UACGUAGGGGGCAAGCGUUGUCCGGAAUUAUUGGGCGUAAAGAGCUCGUAGGCGGCUUGUCGCGUCUGCUGUGAAAACCCGAGGCUCAACCUCGGGCCUGCAGUGGGUACGGGCAGACUAGAGUGCGGUAGGGGAGAUUGGAAUUCCUGGUGUAGCGGUGGAAUGCGCAGAUAUCAGGAGGAACACCAAUGGCGAAGGCAGAUCUCUGGGCCGUAACUGACGCUGAGGAGCGAAAGCAUGGGGAGCGAACAGG
rnacentral:rRNA from 1 species